GAUGAACGCUAGCUACAGGCUUAACACAUGCAAGUCGAGGGGCAGCAUGACGGAACCUUCGGGUUUUGUUGAUGGCGACCGGCGCAAGGGUGCGUAACGCGUGAGCAACUUGCCCGUUUCAGGGGGAUAACCGGUGGAAACGCCGACUAAUACCCCAUGGCAUCAUAUUGAGGCAUCUUUACUCAAUUAAAGAAUUUCGGAAACGGAUAGGCUCGCGUGACAUUAGCUAGAUGGCGGGGUAACGGCCCACCAUGGCGACGAUGUCUAGGGGUUCUGAGAGGAAGGUCCCCCACACUGGAACUGAGACACGGUCCAGACUCCUACGGGAGGCAGCAGUGAGGAAUAUUGGUCAAUGGUCUGACGACUGAACCAGCCAUGCCGCGUGAAGGAAACGGCCCUAUGGGUCUUAAACUUCUUUUGUAAGGGAGCAAUAAGCGCCACGUGUGGCGUGAUGAGAGUACCUUACGAAUAAGCAUCGGCUAACUCCGUGCCAGCAGCCG
rnacentral:rRNA from 1 species